rnacentral:rRNA from 2 species
AGUGAGCGCUGGCGGCAGGCCUAACACAUGCAAGUCGAGCGGUAACAUUUCUAGCUUGCUAUAAGAUGACGAGCGGCGGACGGGUGAGUAAUGCUUGGGAACAUGCCUUGAGGUGGGGGACAACAGUUGGAAACGACUGCUAAUACCGCAUAAUGUCUACGGACCAAAGGGGGCUUCGGCUCUCGCCUUUAGAUUGGCCCAAGUGGGAUUAGCUAGUUGGUGAGGUAAUGGCUCACCAAGGCGACGAUCCCUAGCUGGUUUGAGAGGAUGAUCAGCCACACUGGGACUGAGACACGGCCCAGACUCCUACGGGAGGCAGCAGUGGGGAAUAUUGCACAAUGGGCGCAAGCCUGAUGCAGCCAUGCCGCGUGUGUGAAGAAGGCCUUCGGGUUGUAAAGCACUUUCAGUCAGGAGGAAAGGUUAGUAGUUAAUACCUGCUAGCUGUGACGUUACUGACAGAAGAAGCACCGGCUAACUCCGUGCCAGCAGCCGCGGUAAUACGGAGGGUGCGAGCGUUAAUCGGAAUUACUGGGCGUAAAGCGUACGCAGGCGGUUUGUUAAGCGAGAUGUGAAAGCCCCGGGCUCAACCUGGGAACUGCAUUUCGAACUGGCAAACUAGAGUGUGAUAGAGGGUGGUAGAAUUUCAGGUGUAGCGGUGAAAUGCGUAGAGAUCUGAAGGAAUACCGAUGGCGAAGGCAGCCACCUGGGUCAACAC